UACGAAGGGUGCAAGCGUUACUCGGAAUUACUGGGCGUAAAGCGUGCGUAGGCGGUUCGUUAAGUCCGUUGUGAAAGCCCUGGGCUCAACCUGGGAAUGGCAGUGGAUACUGGCGAGCUAGAGUGUGAUAGAGGAUGGUGGAAUUCCCAGUGUAGAGGUGAAAUUCGUAGAUAUUGGGAAGAACACCGAUGGCGAAGGCAGCCAUCUGGACCGACACUGACGCUGAGGCGCGAAAGCGUGGGGAGCAAACAGG
rnacentral:rRNA from 1 species